rnacentral:lncRNA from 1 species
AUGUCACGGGGGGGCACGGCUGGUGACGCGUCCCGGGCCAACGGCACCCAAAGCCAAGGCUGCGCGGGGCGUGCGGGGCUGCGAGCGCGGCGUCCGGCCGUGAUUCAGCAGCGGCCCGGGGGGGUGGGGGGGGGCCGGGGCCGCCGAGUGGGGCCGCGCGGGGCCGGGGAAGGUCAGCGAGGGCCGCGGGCGCCCCCGAGCCCGAGACGGGCCGGGCGGCGGGGCGGCGGGGAGCCGGGGCGGCGCGGGCGCCUACCUUUCCUGCUUUUCGGGGAGCUCCGCUUGCUCCGGGCGCUGGCUCGCUCUUCCUCAAUCGCAGCUGCUAUCUCGGGGUUGUCUUCCCCAUUGUACCAGACCAGGAGCUCCUCGCCCGGCGCGAUUGGCUGCGGGGACAGAAGAGACAGGCGCCGGGCCAAUCAGAGCGGCGGUUGUUGGCGGGGCGGGGCGGGGCGGGGCGGGGCGCGGGGCUGCGGGCGGGGCGGGGCUCGGGGCGGGGCUCCGGGCAGGGCGGGGGGCGGGGCUCCGGGCAGGGCGGGGGGUGGGGGGCGGGGCGCGGCGCCAGGCCCGCCCGGCAGGAAGGGCUCCCGAAGCUCGGCGGCGGCGGGCCGGGCCGGGCGGCGGCGGGCGGGGACCCUCUGCUGGAGGGAGGACCUCACGUCGCCCCGCCGCUCCCCGGGCCUGCGCAGCCGCGGCCCCCCGACGGCCCCCGCUCGGAGCCUCGGCCGCCCACGCGCAAGAACUGAGACGCGCAACCAUUUGCCCACGAACUGCAGGCUCGCGACCCUCGGAAAGCGCAGUGGGGAGAGCCGCGGCCGGAAGGAGAAGCGCUGGAAGCUAGCGACCUGCGCACGUCUCGGAGCAAGUUCAGGAGCAGGUUGGGCAGGACCGCAGCGCGCCGCCACGGAAUCCCAGAAGUGCUGCGGGACGGGCGGACGCGGGGUCCCGGGGUCCCGGCCACCGACCUGCUCCCGAGGACGGGCCGCUGCCUCGCCCUCGCACCGGACAGCUUUUAGACUCACAAGGAAAUUCCCAAAAAUAACAGAGAACAAACCAAAAACCCACAGGUACUAUGGUUCUAAAACAUGA